rnacentral:miRNA from 1 species
ACCUUCUUCGGUUUGUUCAGAAAA